UCGCCCUGUUUUUCAAAAACAUUGUCUCAUGGACUACAUAUGAGAUAGAUCCUGCCCGGUGACUAACUGUUCAACGGCCGCGGUAUCCUAACCGUGCAAAGGUAGCAUAAUAAUUUGCCUAUUAAUUGUAGGCUGGAAUGAAAGGACUAACGAAAUAAAAACUGUCUCAAUUAACCACCUAAAAAUUAUUCUCUACAUGAAGAAAAGUAGAUACACUCGAAGGACAAGAAGACCCUAUAGAGCUUUAUUUUACUUAUGGAACAAAACUAUAAAAAUAUUCGGUUGGGGCGACCCAGGGCUAAACAAUCACCCAAAAGACAAAAGAUAUAUAAAUCAAGUAAAUGACCCUAUAAAGAUCACAAAACCAAGCUACCUUAGGGAUAACAGGCUAAUCCCACUUAAGAGUUCAUAUCAACAGUGGGGUUUGGCACCUCGAUGUUGGCUUAGGGUAUCUAUAUGGCGCAAAAGCUAUAUAAAGAUGGUUUGUUCAACCAACAACACCCUACGUGAUCUGUU
rnacentral:rRNA from 1 species